UACGAGGGGUGCAAGCGUUGUUCGGAAUUACUGGGCGUAAAGCGCGUGUAGGUGGUGAAAUGUGUCGAAUGUGAAAGCCCUGGGCUUAACCCAGGAAGUGCGUUCGAAACUGUUUAACUCGAGUACGGGAGAGGUGGGCGGAAUUCCCAGUGUAGAGGUGAAAUUCGUAGAUAUUGGGAGGAACACCGGUGGCGAAAGCGGCUCACUAGACCGUAACUGACACUGAGACGCGAAAGCGUGGGGAUCAAACAGG
rnacentral:rRNA from 1 species